rnacentral:rRNA from 1 species
UACAGAGGGGGCAAGCGUUGUUCGGAAUUACUGGGCGUAAAGGGCGCGUAGGCGGCCGCCUAAGUCAGACGUGAAAUCCCUCGGCUCAACCGGGGAACUGCGUCUGAUACUGGGUGGCUGGAAUUCGGGAGAGGGAUGCGGAAUUCCAGGUGUAGCGGUGAAAUGCGUAGAUAUCUGGAGGAACACCGGUGGCGAAGGCGGCAUCCUGGACCGAGAUUGACGCUGAGGCGCGAAAGCCAGGGGAGCAAACGGG